rnacentral:rRNA from 1 species
CAGCCGCCGCGGUAAAACCAGCACCUCAAGUGGUCAGGAUGAUUAUUGGGCCUAAAGCAUCCGUAGCUCGUUUUGUAAGUUUUCGGUUAAAUCCAUGCGCUUAACGUAUGGGCUGCCGGGAAUACUGCAUAACUAGGAAGUGGGAGAGGUAGACGGUACUCGGUAGGAAGGGGUAAAAUCCUUUGAUCUAUUGAUGACCACCUGUGGCGAAGGCGGUCUACCAGAACACGUUCGACGGUGAGGGAUGAAAGCUGGGGGAGCAAACCGGAUUAGAUACCCGGGUAGUCCCAGCUGUAAACUAUGCAAACUCAGUGACGCAUUGGCUUGUGGCCAAUGCAGUGCUGCAGGGAAGCCGUUAAGUUUGCCGCCUGGGAAGUACGUACGCAAGUAUGAAACUUAAAGGAAUUGGCGGGGGAGCA